rnacentral:snRNA from 1 species
ACUUUGAAGGCCGAAGAGG